GUUUGCAGAAAACAUUUGCAGAAAACUACCCAUUUGCAGAAACCCUUAACAAUCAAAACUGAAAUUAGAAAAUAACUGAAAUAAAAACUCAAUCAAUGAAACAAAAAAAAAAUAGAUUAAGAAAGUAGAGGAGGAAAAACAGUAGAGAAAAGGAGGAAAGGCACACCCAAGAAAAAAUCACGAUCAACAAAAAUAAUAUACAGAAAAAAGGAGAACAGAACCUGUUGAUAAC
rnacentral:lncRNA from 1 species